rnacentral:rRNA from 1 species
UACGUAGGGUGCAAGCGUUGUCCGGAAUUAUUGGGCGUAAAGAGCUCGUAGGCGGUUUGUCGCGUCUGCUGUGAAAACCCAGGGCUUAACCCUGGGCCUGCAGUGGGUACGGGCAGACUAGAGUGCGGUAGGGGAGACUGGAAUUCCUGGUGUAGCGGUGAAAUGCGCAGAUAUCAGGAGGAACACCGGUGGCGAAGGCGGUUCUCUGGGCAUUACCUGACGCUGAGGAGCGAAAGUGUGGGGAGCGAACAGG